rnacentral:rRNA from 1 species
UACGGGGGGGAGCAAGCGUUGUUCGGAUUUACUGGGCGUAAAGGGCGCGUAGGCGGCGUGACAAGUCACUUGUGAAAUCUCCGGGCUUAACCCGGAGCGGCCAAGUGAUACUGUCGUGCUAGAGUGCGGAAGGGGCUACUGGAAUUCUCGGUGUAGCGGUGAAAUGCGUAGAUAUCGAGAGGAACACCUGCGGCGAAGGCGGGUAGCUGGGCCGACACUGACGCUGAGGCGCGAAAGCCAGGGGAGCGAACGGG